rnacentral:rRNA from 1 species
CAUGGAUAACCUACCCUGGGGAUGGGCAUAGCCGUUCUAACGAACGGGUAAUACCCAGCGAGUCGACGGGUCGGCAUCGAUCUGUCGGGAAAUGAAUUUCGCCUCGGGAGGGGUCCAUGCGAUAUCAGCUAGUUGGUGGGGUAACGGCCCACCAAGGCUUAGACGUCUAGCGGGUGUGAGAGCACGACCCGCGCCACUGGCACUGAGACACUGGCCAGACACCUACGGGUGGCUGCAGUCGAGGAUCUUCGUCAAUGGGCGCAAGCCUGAACGAGCGAUGCCGCGUGAGCGAUGAAGGCCUUCGGGUUGUAAAGCUCAAAAGGGGUGAGAAAGGGAAACUUGAUCGAACCCCAGUAAGCUCGGGCUAAGUUCGUGCCAGCAGCCGCGGUAAGACGAACCGAGCGAACGUUGUUCGGAAUCACUGGGCUUAAAGGGCGCGUAGGCGGGUGCUCAAGUCCGUGGUGAAAUCCUCCGGCUCAACCGGAGAACUGCCUCGGAUACUGGGCGCCUCGAGGGUGGUAGGGGUAUGCGGAACUAUCGGUGGAGCGGUGAAAUGCGUUGAUAUCGAUAGGAACUCCGGUGGC